rnacentral:rRNA from 1 species
AGCUCCAAUAGCGUAUAUUUAAGUUGCUGCAGUUAAAAAGCUCGUAGUUGGAUUUCGGGCGGGUGCUGCCGGUCCGCCCUUUGGGUGUGCACCGGUUGCGCCCGUCCUGCUGCCGGGGACGGGUGCCUGGGCUUCGCUGUCCGGGCCCCGGAGUCGGCGAGGUUACUUUGAGUAAAUUAGAGUGUUCAAAGCAGGCCUACGCUCUGAAUACAUUAGCAUGGAAUAACACGAUAGGACUCUGGCCUAUCUUGUUGGUCUGUAGGACCGGAGUAAUGAUUAAGAGGGACAGUCGGGGGCAUUCGUAUUUCAUUGUCAGAGGUGAAAUUCUUGGAUUUAUGAAAGACGAACUACUGCGAAAGCAUUUGCCAAGGAUGUUUUCAUUA